rnacentral:rRNA from 1 species
UACAGAGGUCCCGAGCGUUGUUCGGAUUCACUGGGCGUAAAGGGUGCGUAGGUGGUGAGGUAAGUCGGAUGUGAAAGCUCGGAGCUCAACUCCGAAAAUGGCAUUGGAAACUACCUUGCUUGAGGGUUGGAGGGGGGACUGGAAUACUUGGUGUAGCAGUGAAAUGCGUAGAUAUCAAGUGGAACACCAGUGGCGAAGGCGAGUCCCUGGACAACACCUGACACUGAGGCACGAAAGCUAGGGGGAGCAAACAGG